ensembl:lncRNA
CGUGUGUUUUAUUUUAGAGUAGCAGGUAAAAAAAUAGAGAUAAUAAUAACACAUGCUUCAUAAGGUUACCGUCUGAAUCAAAUAUGUAUAAAAACAUUUUGCAAAUCUUAAAUUGCCAUAGAAAUCCUAGCUCUUAUUACUAUGAAAGCAUCUAGUAUGUGUCCCUGGGAAUAUGAAAACAAAAGUGAUGUGGUCCCUGUCCUCAAGCUUAUAUUCUACUGGAGGAGAUGACAUUCACAGGUACAUACAACACACGCACAAAAUUGGGGGAUGGGUGGGGCUAAAGAGGGGACACCAGCAGCUGGAAAGGACCUCUCUGAGAAGGUGGCACUUGAGUUGAGUGUUGAAGUAAUCCAAGGAUCAGGGAUCCUCCACUGCAGGUGAACCCUUUGAUCUAACAGAGCUCUAUUGGGUCUGUAUCCCAAACAGAAGAUUUAAAAACUGGAAAGAGGGGUAGCUAGAUGAUGCAGUGGGCACCAGCUCUGAAGUCAGGAGGACCUGAGUUCAAAUCCGACCUCAGACACUCAGCACUUCCUACUCCUGUGAUCCUGGACAAGUUACUUAGCCCCAGUUGCCCCGCCCUCCUCACGCCAAUUUUUUUUUUUUUCACUAAAAACAUUGGGAAAGGAUGCAUUAUACAAAAAUAUUUAUAGCAGUUUUUUGUGGUGGCAAAGAAUGGGAAAUUAUAGGGAUGCCCAUCAAUUGGGAAAUGGUUGAAUAAGUUGCGGUAUAUGAAUGUAAUGGAAUAGUAUCGUGCUAUAAAAAGUGAUGAGCAAGUGCAUUUCAGAAAACCUGGAAAGACUUGCAUGAACUGAUGCUGAGUGAAGUGAACAGAACCAGAAUACUGGACAUAUUAUCGGCAAGAUUAUGUGAUGAUCAGCUUGGAUGAGCUUGGCUCUUCUCAGCGAUACAAUGACUCAAGACAAUCCCAAAAGACUCAUGAAGGAAAAUGCCACCCACAUCCAGAGAAAGAACUGUGGAUGUAGGUUGAAACAGACUAUUUUCACGUUCUCCCCUUUCUCAUGGUGUUUUCCUUUUGUUUUGAUUCUUCUUUCACAUGUCCAAUGUGGAAAUAUGUUUAAGAUCAUGGUACAUGUAUAAAUGGAUUGUUUGCUGUCUCGGGGAGGGAAGAGAGGAAAGGAGAAAAAUUUGGAAUUCAUGAUCUUAUAAAAAUGAAUGUUAAAAACCAUCUUUACAUGUGAUUGGGAAAAAAUAAAAUACUAUUAAGUAAGAUGAGAGUUUGCUGAGUAGAAUGACAAGUUUUUUGAGGGGGAAUCAAUUUGCCUGCAGAGUGAAGUCUGACUCAGAGAGGAGAAAAACUUGAGACUGAGAGAAUUGGGAGACUUUUGCACUAGCCCAGAUUGCAGAAUGAUGAAGGCUUAAACUAAGGCAGGGGUGGAUGAGUCUGGUGUUUAGUUUUACUAAACUGCUUUUUUUCCUUUCUUUUUCAUUCUUUGAUACAAAGAAUGGCUCAGCACACAGAGGAAGAGGGAGUGAUAUGUUUAGAAAUGAAAAUAUUAAAAUAAAGUUUAAACAUCGAUAAUCAUUUCUACAUAUUCUAUAUAAUAUAUAUUACAUAGAAUAUAUAUUCUAUAUAAGCUAGAACUAAAACAAUGUUUUAAAUAUGAUUGCUGAUAUUAAAUAUUGUACAUAUGUUUUAAUAUUUUAAAUACAUUCCCCCCACCAAGGAGCAGGAACAACUGAGAAAAUGGGUAUUUAGAAUAAGGGCGAUGACUGAAUCCCUAGAUUGUCCAGAUCAGUUGAUAUCUGGAGAAUUUUUUUCAGUUCUGGCUACCAUAUUUUAGGAAAGAUGGAGACCCCCUGGAGGGCAACCAGAAGAGGUUAAACAAGGAGAAUGGAUGACAGUCAAUCUGCUUACAUUUAAGCACCUAUUGCUCAGAGGCCUGCAGAUUGUAGAGGAUGUAAAGACAAAGAAUAAAGUAAUCAGUUAAUUAAUUAAAAAGCCCCUUCUGGAGGGGCUUCUAUUCUUCUAGGGAAUGCAAUAUAUAAGGCAUAAUUUUAAAAGGGAGGCUAAGGCAGAGAAAGAGAGACAGAGAUAGAGAGUGAGGCAGAGCGUGGAGAAAAGAGAAAAGACUGGCAAUUUUAAGAAACUACUUUGUAUGGAAAAAUCAGAAAAGUUUCAAAAUAGCUCUCCCAGUUAUCAAUAAUAUCAAGCAGAAACAUAUUCUCAUGAACUAUUUGAUUAAACUUUCAGUAGGAGAUAAAAAGAAAAACUUUGUUUCUACGUAUGUUUUGUCAAAUUAUUUAUGUUUCGUGUCUUAGUACUAAAUCAAAUUAUUGAUCUGAUUAAAGAAAAUAGAGUUCAAAACAGAAAAAAAAAACCUUUCAUAGUCUUCAAAAAGGAAGCUCUCUAUCUAGAGUCUUUUUAACUCUGGCUAAGUUGGAGAGGUCAACAAGAGGCACAGAUAAGAAGGAAGGGAAUCUUUGUUUCCAGUCUGCAGAAAUUUGUGACAUUGUAAAUCAAUUAGUUUUUGGAAAGAAGUUGUUGAUCCUAUUGAGAUAAGAAGGAUUUGAAAAACUUUGUAGAGAAAUGCCCAUUGACAAUUUCAGAUAGACAGUAAUUUGUCAAGAUAUAACAUUUACCAAAUGGAAACUCUUAGAAGUAAAAAUUUGCAGCAUAUAAUUAUUUGGAUAAGCUAACUGACACUCCUGUCUUUGAAAGGAUGAGUCUUAUACUUUAGGGCCUCCCAAGAACUGAAACAGGGGAUGGGAAUGUAAGGGUGAAAGUUUCCCAGGGUUAAAAGUGAAGAGAAUAAUCGGGGAAUAAAUCAGGGAAAAUUUUAGACAUACACUUUAUUCUCCCUCCGAAAGUAUGGAAGAGGGGAGGUAUAUUAAGAAAAUAAAUGGAAUUGAUUUGAUUUGGGUGAUUUAUUUUUAAAUGCCACCAUGAAGUCAAACAAAGAUGAACUAAUUGAAAAACAGUGAAUUCUAAAGUGUGAAGAAUAAAAGUAGAUAGCCCUUGGGAAAGUCAAGUUUCUAAAUAUCACCAUUUAAGAUUGUAAUUUGAGUUACUUGAGUUGUUGAAAAUUCUGUCCUGAAACUAAAUGAUGUGGUCUCAUUUACAAUGAAAUGUCUUCUCUUAUUAGGAAAAUUAUAAUAAAUUAGAGCUUGCUGCAAAAUACAUUUGCUUUUUAGCUAUUUGCUGAAAAAUGCACGCAUCAGGAAAGACUAAAUUAAAAUCCAAUAUUAAUUAUGUGUCUGUUUACCUUAGUAUCCUAAUCUGAGAAGGGUAUAAAAUAACUAUUACUUCCCAGAGUUGUUUGUGAGGAUCUGCUGAUGGCACAGGGUUUGGCACAGUGCCUGGCAUAUAAUAAGCAAUAUAUAAAUGUUAAUUAUUAUUCUUUUUUAAUUAAAGGCCAUUACUCCAUAUUGAUUAUUCUAUACUGAGUUUCGGUGUGAUUAGUAUAGAAUGCCAAAAGUAAUCAAUGAAUAACUUUCUUUUCUUCCCCCCCCCCUUUUUUUUUUUAAAUUUGAGGCAGUUGGGAUUAAGUGACUUGCCCAGAGUCACACAGCUAAAUGUCUGAGACCUAUUUUGAACUCACAUCCUCCUGAUUUCAGAACUGGUAGUCUAUCUGGUGCGCCACCUAGCUGCUCCAAUGAAAAACUUUCUAUAUAAGAAAUUUGGAAUUACAUGCUACUGAAUUGAUGUCAUCUAUUAAUGAGUUUUGUUUAAUGUUUUAAAUUCCAGAUAUUGUUGUAUGUUAUUAUUGUGUCUCUAAUAUUUCUUUUCAUAUAAUUGUAAAAUUUCAGAAAUCGUUGUGUCAGAAAUACUAUUAAAAAUGUAAUUUUUCAGGCCUGGAGAGACUUAUAUGAACUGAUGCUAACUUCUAAGAAGAAGGUAGAACGAGAACAUUAUAUACUGCAACAACAAGAUUAUAUGAUGAUCAACUGUGAAGGACUCAGCUCUUUUCAACAGUGAAGUGAUUCAGGCCAGUACCAAUAGAUUUGUGAUGGAAAGAGCCAUCUGCAUCCAGAGAGAGAUUGUGGGAACUGAAUGUGGCUCAAAAUAUAGUAUUUUCACUUUUUUGUUGUAGUUUGCUUGCAUUUUGUUUUCUUUCUCCUUGUUUUUCCUUUUUUGAUCUGAUUUUUCCUGGGCAGUGUGAUGAAUGUAGAAAUAUGUUUAGAAGAAUUGCACAUUUGACAUAUAUGGAUUACUUGCAAUCCAUAAGGGAAAGGUGGGGAGGAAGGAAAGGAGAAAAAUUUGGAACACAAGGUUUUGCAAGGGUAAAUGCUGAAAACUAUCUUUGCAUGUAUUUUGAAAAAUAAAAAGCUAUUAUUAUUUUUUUAAAUGUAAUUCCCCUUUCCAUCUGGACACUCUUGGAUUAUGAAUUGAGCUGUUAAAAUAAUAUGAUAAAAAUGUGUGAAAACUUAUUUAUUGAGGUUUUUUUUUUUUUUGCUUUAAAGUGGACAAUAAUAACAAUUUACUGUUGGGAGAAAAGUAGCAAAGUUCUUUUGAAGUAUCUUUAUCUAUGAGGUUCCUUGUGACUUUUUUCUGGGUCAGGGUCAUGUAGUCUUAUCAGUCUUGCUGACGUCUAAAUUACUUGAUUUUGAGAAAUUAGAAUCUCUCCAAGGCAAAGUGGGGAAAUUUACAAGGUUGUGUCAAGUGUGACUUUCAGUGAAGAUUAUCUGACCAUCACUUAUGAAAAAAUUAUGAAUUUGUCUCUGUUAAUAAUUAGCCUCUAUUGAAGUUAUAUCUUUGAGCCAAUUUAGUCACUUAAAUAGAUCUUAGAAGGCAGAAUUGGAAACUGAGGGAAGUUUUCAAAGAAACAUAUUAAGGCUUAAGAUCUAGGCUGCCUUGGGAGGUAUUAGAUUACUCUCCUUGGAGGGCUUCAAGGGGACUCAGGAUUUACCCAGAAUGUUGAGAGUCUUCGCUCUCAAAAAGUAGCUGUUAAGGUCUCAAAGUCCCUGCGGCGAGAAAUCUCCCACAGAGUGUCCCAUCCCCCAUGGAGCUUUGCUUGAUUUUGGGCUAUUUUACUUAAUUUAUCUAUGACUCGGACAAAGGCAUUGAUAGCAUGUUACUCAAACUGGCAGAUGAUAUCUGCCAGGGAAACACCCUGUUUGGUUGUCAGAAUCCAUGGCCAAAUCCAUGGAUUUGGGCUGGAUCUAAUCUAAUAAGAAAUAGAAGAGGGAUACAAGUAGUCUUGCACCGGAUUCACCAGUGUAAAAUGGGGAAGGUACCGCUAAAUGAUAGUUGUUCUGAAAACAUCUGAGGGUCAGAGUGACGUGGGGAACUUUCUAGGAAAGAUGUAACAAUAACCCACAAUGUCAUCUGACCUUGGGACUGAUGUUGGAGAUGAUAUAUCUCUUCCCCUAGGUUAUCUUGUCUCUGUUUACUCUGUAGACCAGGAUGCUCUGGCUACAAAUCUUGCUGACUGUCAGUUAACAGCCUGUUGGUCAGUUCUAAUACAGUUUUUGAGACUAAUGAGCAACAAUAAUAAAGUGCUUCAAGUUGACGCAGACGCAGAACAAAAUUGGGUGUCUGUCAUUUGAUCUAGCGACAUUUCAGGUCUAAAAACAUACUUCCAGAAGGUUUUCUCCUUAAGCUCCACCCAGAGAAUUAUGGGUAUUACACCUGUGCACAAAAUCAGAAUAGGACCCUUCUCAACUCCACCUCUAAGCCAUGAAAUGAGCCUAUGAGUGCCACAAAGCACCUAAUCUCUCUAAUUUUGUCCUAUCAAUUUAUCUUCUUUCUCCUGGUUCUUUGCUAACUUCUUUUGGAACUUAGUCCACUUCAAUUGGUAUUAUAAUUAUAAUAAAUUUUGCCCCUUGACUUGGAGAUGGGUCCGAGCUACAAAUUCUUUUGAGACACCUCGCAGCACCCCAAUCUUUUUGGGGCCUCCCUUGAGCCCCAACAAAAGUGGCCCAGAAGCACACUAUGAAACAGCCAUGUGAUGGGACACUAACUGGGGAAGAGCUUCCAGGCACAGGGAGGGGAUGGUCCCCUUGUAAGCAGCACUGGACAGAUGUCAUCAGAGUAUUGCAUUCAGUUUGGGACUUUCCAUUUGGGAAGGAGUUUG